AUAAAACAGAAAUAUAUAAUGUUGAAGACUUCCUAAGACUUGUGAUCAGAUAUCAACAAUUUUCCAUCCCUAGUUUUCCACAUCCAGUACAUAUAGGCCAACCUUCAAUGGAUACAAAAGUAACAAUUGAAGGUUAUCAUGAAGACCUUGAAGGAAUUCCUUAUCUGUUAUGACUUGUAACAAAAAAAAAUUCUGGUUAUAGCAUAACCAGCAAAUAUGGAUCAACAAAUAUUUUUUUGGUUAUUUUCCCAUUGUGCUAUAAUUCAUAAUUAGUUAAGAAGAGAGACUUGCAUGUGCUUGAAUAUGGAUCUUCAAAAUCUCUCAUAGCUACUUGUGAUGUUUUCCACCCAGCAUUCAUGUUUAACUGUUUUAAAUGCUUGAAAAGUUCUCUAGUUUUGGCUACAAGUCAAUUGUUAGCUGAAGUUUGCAAGGUCUAAAAGUAUGAAAUCUCAUGAAACCGAGUUGAAAUCUUACUGCAUUUGCUAGGCUGUAUUAAAUCCAUAAACCUUUUUAUUUUCUUCUUUUCAACUUCUAUCUUCUUCUGCUUCUUUUUGUGAGUUCAUGUUAGUCUGAUAUGUUUAAAGCAUAUUUAAACCAAUAUUUUACGAUAAUUUGACCAAGUGGUUUGUGAUUUUUUUACAGGAAUUUAUUAAGAAUAUCGAGAAGCAUUUACCAUGAAGAUUGGUGCUACUUAAAUGGACAUGGAGACACUUUUGACAGAUUUAGAUUUUUUUGAUUGCUCUCGUAGUCGAAGCAUUGAAUGUGUAUUUGUUAUAUUUUCUAAAAAAACUUGAUAUUUGGAUUGCUAUGUUAGCAAAAAUGAAAUGAAGAACAUAUUGAUGAUCAAUGUUGACGUAGUGAGGGGAAUUAGUUGGCUU